rnacentral:tRNA from 1 species
GGACGUGUAACUCAGUGGUAGAGUGUGCGAUUGCAGAUCGCAGUGUCGCCGGUUCGAUCCCGGUCACGUCCU